GGUGAUUUUGGGUGCUUUAAGGUGAUUCUGGGUGAUUUUACGGUGAUUUUGGGUGAUUUCAAGGCGAUUUUGGGAUUUCCCCCCCAGCUACGGCGCCUACCCCGCCCCCCCCAGCCAGAGCUACUCGCAGGGUGGGGGGCAGGGCUACUCCCAGCAGAGCUACGGCGGCUACGGCCAGGGCUCGGACACGGGCUACGGCCAGGGCGGCUACAGCGGCUCCUACGGCCAGAGCCAGAGCGGUUAUUCGGCGCCGGCGGCUCCUCCCUCCUACGGCUCCGGCGGCUUCGGCUCCGCCCAGAGCUCCCAGGGCAGCUACGGCCAGAGUUCAUCAUACCCGGGGUAUUCCCAGCCCCCCGCGGCUCCGUCCGCCUCAGCCAGUUACGGCAGCGGCUCCGGCAGCUCCAGCUACGGCCAAGCCCCGAGCGGGGGCUACAACCAACAGAGCGGGGGCUACAGCCAGCAGAGCUACGGGCAACAGUCGUCCUACAACCCUCCCCCG
rnacentral:lncRNA from 1 species